CACGUAGGGGACGAGCGUUGUCCGGAUUCAUUGGGCGUAAAGCGCGCGUAGGCGGCUCGGAAAGUCGGUCGUGAAAUGCCGGGGCUCAACCCCGGGACUGCGUCCGAUACUCCCGAGCUGGAGGCAGGUAGGGGAGAUCGGAAUUCCUGGUGUAGCGGUGAAAUGCGCGAUAUCAGGAGGAACACCGGUGGCGAAGGCGGAUCUCUGGGCCUUGCCUGACGCUGAGGCGCG
rnacentral:rRNA from 1 species